AUUGAACGCUGGCGGCAUGCUUUACACAUGCAAGUCGAACGGUAACAGGCCUUCGGGUGCUGACGAGUGGCGAACGGGUGCGUAAUGCAUCGGAACGUGCCCAGAGGUGGGGGAUAACGCAGCGAAAGCUGUGCUAAUACCGCAUGUGAUCUGAGGAUGAAAGCGGGGGACCAGGCAGCAAUGUUUGGCCUCGCGCCUUUGGAGCGGCCGAUGUCAGAUUAGGUAGUUGGUGGGGUAAAGGCCUACCAAGCCGACGAUCUGUAGCUGGUCUGAGAGGACGACCAGCCACACUGGGACUGAGACACGGCCCAGACUCCUACGGGAGGCAGCAGUGGGGAAUUUUGGACAAUGGGCGCAAGCCUGAUCCAGCAAUGCCGCGUGAGGGAAGAAGGCCUUCGGGUUGUAAACCGCUUUUGUACGGAACGAAAAGGCUCUGGCUAAUACCUGGGGCUGAUGACGGUACCGUAAGAAUAAGCACCGGCUAACUACGUG
rnacentral:rRNA from 1 species